rnacentral:rRNA from 1 species
GAGGAAGUAAAAGUCGUAACAAGGUCUCCGUUGGUGAACCAGCGGAGGGAUCAUUACCGAGUUUACAACUCCCAAACCCCUGUGAACAUACCUUAAUGUUGCCUCGGCGGAUCAGCCCGCUCCCCGUAAAACGGGACGGCCCGCCAGAGGACCCAAACUCUAAUGUUUCUUAUUGUAACUUCUGAGUAAAACAAACAAAUAAAUCAAAACUUUCAACAACGGAUCUCUUGGUUCUGGCAUCGAUGAAGAACGCAGCAAAAUGCGAUAAGUAAUGUGAAUUGCAGAAUUCAGUGAAUCAUCGAAUCUUUGAACGCACAUUGCGCCCGCUGGUAUUCCGGCGGGCAUGCCUGUUCGAGCGUCAUUUCAACCCUCAAGCCCCCGGGUUUGGUGUUGGGGAUCGGCUCUGCCUCACGGCGGUGCCGCCCCCGAAAUACAUUGGCGGUCUCGCUGCAGCCUCCAUUGCGUAGUAGCUAACACCUCGCAACUGGAACGCGGCGCGGCCAUGCCGUAAAACCCCAACUUCUGAAUGUUGACCUCGGAUCAGGUAGGAAUACCCGCUGAACUUAAGCAUAUCA